CACGGAGCUGCUCCUUCUCCUCCGUCCACGUUUCCUCCUCCGUCCACGUUUCCUCCUCCACCUCCUCUACCACCACCACCUCCUCCUCCUCUCCAGAGCUCCUCUCAGGCGGAGGAUGUGUGGGCUCCUGAGCGGAGGGAAGGUGUGAUCUCGGCGGUGACAGAUGGAUGUUGGAGGGAGAACAUGAUGCCGCCGCCGCCGUGCGUCUGCUGAGCCAGCGAUUCCUGCCGGUGGCAUCGGGAGGACGAGUCCACGUAUGUUUGUGUUCAGCGCUCAGGACGUGGAGCAGCUUCUUCUCAGCUCCAUCUGGAGGCUUUCUGGGAUUACUGGCAGCUGCUGUGCAUUUUGAUCUCAGGUUUGAUUGAGUUCAGAUACUUUAAACUCUUUAAUUCAAGUCGAGCUUUGCUCUGCUGGAAGUUUCCCGUCCGGCGCCGUCCUGCUGGACUCUCCUGGACUCUCCUGGACUCUCCUGGAUUCUCUUUCUUCUUCAUGCCUUUGUGGAUCUGUUGAGUCUCCUGGAGGUUCAUCAUGGAGCUUCAGGCCGGCCCCAUCUCGCCGCUUCCCCUCUCCCCGACCUCUGACUAUGCCGGGCCCCUCUCGCCGGCGUCGGGCGGCCCCGGCCCGUCCAGCGGCGCCAGCCCGGGCAGGGGCCCGAGCCCCAACCUCAGCCCCAUCAGGGGCCCCAGCCCCGGCCCCGGCUUCUCCGGCCAGGCCGCCUUCAACUACAACCAGCUGGAGGGCAGGUUCAAGCAGCUCCAAGACGAGCGUGAGGCGGUGCAGAAGAAGACCUUCACCAAAUGGGUCAACUCCCACCUGUCCCGGGUGUCCUGCCGGAUCACCGACCUCUACAUGGACCUGAGGGACGGACGCAUGCUCAUCAAGCUGCUGGAGGUCCUGUCCGGAGAGAGGCUGCCCAAACCCACCAAGGGCCGGAUGAGGAUCCACUGUCUGGAGAACGUGGACAAAGCUCUGCAGUUCCUGAAGGAGCAGAGGGUCCACCUGGAGAACAUGGGCUCCCACGACAUCGUGGACGGGAACCACCGGCUCACGCUGGGCCUCAUCUGGACCAUCAUCCUCCGCUUCCAGAUCCAGGACAUCAGCGUGGAGACGGAGGACAACAAGGAGAAGAAGUCGGCUAAAGACGCUCUGCUGCUCUGGUGCCAGAUGAAGACGGCCGGGUAUCCAAACGUCAACAUCCACAACUUCACCACCAGCUGGAGGGACGGGAUGGCCUUCAACGCGCUCAUCCACAAGCACAGGCCGGACCUGAUCGACUUUGACAAGCUGAAGAAGUCCAACGCUCACUACAACCUGCAGAACGCCUUCAACCUGGCCGAGCAGCACCUGGGCCUCACCAAGCUGCUGGACCCAGAAGACAUCAGCGUGGACCAUCCUGAUGAGAAGUCCAUCAUCACCUACGUGGUCACCUACUACCACUACUUCUCCAAGAUGAAGGCGCUGAAGGUGGAGGGCAAGAGAAUCGGAAAGGUUCUGGACAACGCCAUCGAGACGGAGAAGAUGAUCGAGAAGUACGAAUCUCUGGCGUCCGACCUGCUGGAGUGGAUCGAGCAGACCAUCAUCAUCCUCAACAACAGGAAGUUCGCCAACUCCCUGGUGGGCGUCCAGCAGCAGCUGCAGGCCUUCAACACCUACCGCACCGUGGAGAAGCCGCCAAAGUUCACAGAGAAGGGAAACCUGGAGGUUCUCCUGUUCACCAUCCAGAGCAAGAUGAGAGCCAACAACCAGAAAGUGUACACCCCCCGAGAAGGAAAGCUCAUCUCAGACAUCAACAAGGCGUGGGAGCGUCUGGAGAAGGCGGAGCACGAGCGGGAGCUGGCCCUGAGGACGGAGCUGAUUCGUCAGGAGAAGCUGGAGCAGCUCGCCCGACGCUUCGACCGCAAAGCCGCCAUGAGAGAGACGUGGCUGAGCGAGAACCAGAGGCUGGUCUCCCAGGAUAACUUUGGGUUUGACCUCCAAGCCGUGGAAGCUGCUACCAAGAAACAUGAAGCCAUAGAAACAGACAUCGCCGCCUACGAGGAGCGAGUUCAGGCGGUGGUUGCCGUGGCGAAGGAGCUGGAGGCGGAGAGUUACCAUGACAUCAAACGCAUCACGGCCAGGAAGGACAACGUGAUCCGACUGUGGGAGUAUCUGCUGGAGCUGCUGAAGGCCCGAAGGCAGAGGCUGGAGUCCAACCUGGGCCUGCAGAGAGUCUUCCAGGAGAUGCUCUACAUCAUGGACUGGAUGGACGAGAUGAAGAUGCUGCUGCUCUCUCAGGAUUACGGGAAACACCUGCUGGGCGUGGAGGACCUGCUGCAGAAGCACGCUCUGGUGGAGGCCGACAUCGGCAUCCAGGCCGACCGGGUCCGAAACGUCAACAGCAACGCUCAGAGGUUCGCCAACGACACCGAAGGUUAUAAGCCCUGCGAUCCUCAGAUCAUCAGGGAUCGGGUCGCUCACAUGGAGUUCUGCUACCAGGAGCUGAGCCAGCUGGCGGCUGAGCGAAGAGCUCGCCUCGAGGAGUCCCGCCGCCUCUGGAAGUUCUUCUGGGAAAUGGCUGAAGAGGAGGGAUGGAUCAGGGAGAAGGAGCAGAUUCUGUCCUCCGAGGAUUACGGCAAAGAUCUGACCGGCGCUCUGCGGCUGCUGAGUCAGCACAAAGCCUUCGAGGACGAGAUGAGCGGUCGGGCCGCCCACCUGCAGCAGACCAUCAAGCAGGGCGACGAGCUGGUGGCCAACAACCACUUCGGAGCCGACAAGAUUAAAGAACGGAUCCAGGACAUCCAGGACCAGUGGGCGGCGCUGGAGCGGCUCUCUGCGGUCCGGAAAGCUCGUCUGCAGGAGGCCUGCAACCAGCACCAGUUCCAGGCUGACGCCGACGACAUCGACACGUGGAUGCUGGACGUUCUGCGGAUCGUCUCCAGCGUCGACGUUGGCCACGACGAGUUCUCCACUCAGGCUCUGGUGAAGAAACACAAGGAUGUGGCCGAGGAGAUCGCCAGCUACCGACCCGUCAUCGACGCCCUGCACGAGCAGUCCAAGACGCUGCCGCCGGAGAAGGCCAACUCUGAGGAGGUUCAGAGCCGGCUGGCGGGCAUCGAGGAGCGCUACAAGGAGGUGGCCGAGCUGACCAGGCUCAGGAAGCAGGCGCUGCAGGACGCCCUGGCGCUCUACAAGAUGCUGAGCGAAGCCAGCGCCUGCGAGGUCUGGAUCGAUGAGAAGGAGCAGUGGCUCAACAGCAUGGAGAUCCCCGAGAAGCUGGAGGACCUGGAGGUGGUCCAGCACCGGUUUGAGAGUCUGGAGCCGGAGAUGAACAACCAGGCGUCCCGCGUUGCCGUGGUGAACCAGGUCGCCAGACAACUGAUCCACAGCGGACAUCCCAGUGAGAAGGAGAUCAAGGCCCAGCAGGACAAGCUCAACACCAGGUGGAGUCAGUUCAGAGACCUGGUCGACCAGAAGAAGGACAGCCUGAGCUCGGCUCUGGGGGUCCAGAACUACCACCUGGAGUGCAACGAAACCAAGUCCUGGAUCAAGGAGAAGACCAAGGUGAUCGAGUCGACCCAGGAGCUGGGCAACGACCUGGCCGGCGUCAUGGCCCUGCAGAGGAAGCUGACGGGGAUGGAGCGCGACCUGGCCGCCAUCGAGGACAAGCUGGGCGACCUGGGGAAGGAGGCGGACCGGCUGGCCUCCGAGCACCCGGAGCAGUCCGAGGCCAUCAAAGGACGUCUGGCGGAGAUCACCGGCGUCUGGGACGAGAUGAAGGACACCAUGAAGAACCGCGAGGAGUCUCUGGGCGAAGCCAGCAAGCUGCAGCAGUUCCUGCGUGAGCUGGACGACUUCCAGUCGUGGCUGUCGCGGACGCAGACGGCCAUCGCCUCCGAGGACAUGCCCAACACGCUGGCCGAGGCCGAGAAGCUGCUGGCCCAGCACGAGGGCAUCAAGAACGAGAUCCGCAACUACGAGGAGGACUACCAGAAGAUGCGGGACAUGGGCGAGAUGGUGACGCAGGGCCAGACGGACGCCCAGUACAUGUUCCUUCGGCAGCGGCUGCAGGCGCUCGACACCGGCUGGAACGAGCUGCACAAGAUGUGGGAGAACCGGCAGAACCUGCUGUCGCAGUCCCACGCUUACCAGCUGUUCCUGAGGGACACCAAGCAGGCCGAGGCCUUCCUCAACAACCAGGAGUACGUCCUGGCCCACACCGAGAUGCCCACCACUCUGGAGGGCGCCGAGGCCGCCAUCAAGAAGCAGGAGGACUUCAUGACCACAAUGGACGCCAAUGAGGAGAAGAUCAGCGGCGUGGUCGACACCGGGCGCCGCCUGGUGGCCGACGGCAACAUCAACGCCGAGCGCAUCCAGGAGAAGGUGGACUCCAUCGACCAAAGACACAAGAAGAACCGAGCAGCAGCCAGCGACCUGCUGACCAGGCUGAAGGACAACAGAGACCUGCAGAAGUUCCUGCAGGACUGCCAGGAGCUGUCCCUGUGGAUCAACGAGAAGAUGCUGACGGCUCAGGACAUGACGUACGACGAGGCCAGGAACCUCCACAGCAAGUGGCUCAAGCACCAGGCCUUCAUGGCCGAGCUGCAGUCCAACAAGGAGUGGCUGGACAAGAUCGACAAGGACAGCCAGGCGCUGAUGGCAGAGAAACCCGAGACGGAGGCGAUGGUGAAGGAGAAGCUGGCGUCGCUGAAGACGAUGUGGCAGGACCUGGAGUCCACCACCCAGACCAAAGCCAAGUGUCUGUUCGACGCCAACAAGGCCGAGCUGUUCACGCAGAGCUGCGCCGACCUGGACAAGUGGCUGGGCAACCUGGACGGGCAGCUGCAGUCCGACGACUACGGCAAAGACCUCACCUCGGUCAACAUCCUGCUCAAGAAGCAGCAGAUCCUGGAGAGCCAGGUGGAGGUGCGUCAGAAGGAGGUGGAGGAGCUCCGGAGCCAGUCCCAGGCCCUCAGCCAGGAGGGGAAGGGCUCCGAGGAGGUGGACGGGCAGCGCAUCAGCGUGGAGAAGAAGUUCCAGUCGCUGCAGGACCCGCUGAAGAAGAGGCGGGACAACCUGAUGGCGUCCCGCGAGAUCCACCAGUUCAACCGCGACGUGGAGGACGAGAUCCUGUGGGUGGAGGAGAGGAUGCCCAUCGCCACGUCCACCGACCACGGACACAACCUGCAGACGGUCCAGCUGCUCAUCAAGAAGAACCAGACCCUGCAGAAGGAGAUCCAGGGCCACCAGCCUCGCUUCGACGACAUCUUCGAGCGCAGCCAGCACGUGCUGAGGGAGGACAGCCCGACGGCCGAGCUGAUCCGCCAGCGGCUCGCCGAGCUGCAGGCGCUGUGGGACCAGAUCAGGAAGGAGACGGAGAAGCGCCACACCCGGCUCAGCGAGGCCCACGAGGCCCAGCAGUACUACUUCGACGCCGCCGAGGCCGAGGCCUGGAUGAGCGAGCAGGAGCUGUACAUGAUGUCGGAGGAGAAGGCCAAGGACGAGCAGAGUUCGGUGGCCAUGCUGAAGAAGCACCAGAUCCUGGAGCAGGCGGUGGAGGAUUACGCCGACACCGUCCACCAGCUGUCCAGCACCAGCCGGGGCCUGGUGGCCGCCGGACACCCGGACAGCGAGCGCAUCGGGAUGCGUCAGUCUCAGGUGGAUAAGCUCUACGCCGGCCUGAAGGACUUGUCGGAGGAGCGUCGGGGAAAGCUGGACGAGCGUUUCCGUCUCUUCCAGCUCAACCGGGAGGUGGACGACCUGGAGCAGUGGAUCGCCGAGAGGGAGGUGGUGGCCGGAUCCCACGAGCUGGGCCAGGACUACGAGCACGUCACCAUGCUGCAGGAGCGCUUCAGAGAAUUCGCCCGCGACACCGGCAACAUCGGCCAGGAGCGCGUGGACGCCGUCAACCGGCUGGCGGACGACCUGAUCAACGCGGGCCACGGCGACGCCGCCACCAUCGCCGAGUGGAAGGACGGCCUGAACGAGGCCUGGGCCGACCUGCUGGAGCUCAUCGACACCCGGACGCAGAUCCUCGCCGCCUCCUACGAGCUCCACAAGUUCUACCACGACGCCAAGGAGAUCCUCAACCGCAUCCUGGACAAGCACAAGAAGCUCCCGGAGGAGCUGGGCCGCGACCAGAACACGGUGGAGACGCUGCAGAGGAUGCACACCACCUUCGAACACGACAUCCAGGCUCUGGGGACACAGGUGCGGCAGCUUCAGGAGGACGCCGUCCGCCUGCAGUCGGCGUACGCCGGAGACAAAGCCGACGACAUCCAGAAAAGAGAAGGAGAGGUUCUGGAGGCCUGGAAGAACCUGCUGGAGGCGGUGGAGGGCCGCCGGGUGAAGCUGGUGGACACCGGAGACAAGUUCCGCUUCUUCAGCAUGGUGCGGGACCUGAUGCUGUGGAUGGAGGACGUGAUCCGCCUGAUCGAGGCCCAGGAGAAGCCCAGGGACGUGUCCUCGGUGGAGCUGCUGAUGAACAACCAUCAGGGCAUCAAGGCCGAGAUCGACGCCCGCAACGACAGCUUCACCGCCUGCAUCGAGCUGGGCAAGGCCCUGCUGGCCCGCAAGCACUACGCUUCAGAGGAGAUUAAAGAAAAGUUGUUACAGUUGACGGACAAGAGGAAAGACAUGAUUGACAAGUGGGAGGACAGAUGGGAGUGGCUGAGACUGGUGCUGGAGGUGCACCAGUUCUCCCGGGACGCCGGCGUGGCCGAGGCCUGGCUGCUGGGCCAGGAACCCUACCUGUCCAGCAGGGAGAUCGGCCAGAGCGUGGACGAGGUGGAGAAGCUCAUCAAGCGCCACGAGGCCUUCGAGAAGUCGGCCGCCACCUGGGAGGAGCGCUUCGCCGCUCUGGAGAGGCUGACCACGAUGGAGUUAUUGGAAGUGAGAAGAAGGCAAGAGGAAGAAGAGAGGAGGAGACAACCUCCACCUGCAGAGGGUCAGACGGCCGAGGCUGCAGCUCAGCAGAGGGAGGGCGAGCCGGCGUCUCAGAACGGGCUGCCGUCCGACCAGGAGUCUCCCAGGGAGAACGUUGAAGGAGCCGAGGUGGUGAACGGAGUGUCGGAGCCGAGCCCCUCCGGGUCUCCCGGGGCGUCUCGUAAAGCUAAAGCCAGCCAGGCGGCGACGCUGCCGGCCAAAACCCAACAGGACGCCCCGACGUCCCAGCUGGAGGGCUUCCUGCACCGCAAGCACGAGUGGGAGGGCCACAACAAGAAGGCUUCCAGCAGGUCGUGGCACAACGUCUACUGCGUGAUCAACCAGCAGGAGAUGGGCUUCUACAAGGACCAGAAGAGCGCCAGUCAGGGGAUCCCGUACCACAGCGAGAUCCCCGUCAGCCUGAAGGACGCCGUGUGCGAGGUGGCCGUGGACUACAAGAAGAAGAAGCACGUCUUCAAGCUCAAGAUCACUGAUGGAAACGAGUAUCUCUUCCAAGCCAAAGAUGACGAGGAGAUGAACGCGUGGAUCUCGGCCAUCUCGGCCGCCGUGUCGGGCGACAAGUCGGAGGUGACGCCCAGCAGCCACAGCACGCCCGCCCCCGCCGCACGCGCUCAGACGCUGCCCGCCUCCGUCGCCACGGCAACCGCCGAGUCCAGCCCGGGCAAGCGGGAGAAAGACAAGGAGAAGCGCUUCAGUCUGUUCAGCAAGAAGAAAUAGACGCUCCUCCUCCUUCAUCCCUCCUCCUCCUCCUCCUCCUCCUCGUCCCCCUGCGGCCGCUCGGGGUCGAUCGAUCGCUGGUUAUUGAUCGCAGCAGCUGAUGCUAAUCAAUAGAAUCAGAAUGUAAAUUAACAGGAUGAUGUAAUAACAGCGUAAUUCUAUGAGAUAAUCAGUUUAACAUUUAGCCAUCAGUCACUUCAGCUGCUGCAGAUCGAACCCGAGCAGCCGCCUCUUCUUCUUCUUCUUCUUCUUUCUUCCUCCUCUUCCUCCUCUUCCUCCUCCUCUUCCUCUCAAGGCGUGACUCCAGCAUGCAAGCUCCGAGCCAAAACUCUCCACUCUGUGCCUAUCAACCGUCCGGUCGGCUCAGAGCUACAGUUCAGCUACAACAACACACCACCUGUAUCCUCUGCUCAGUUUUUGUAAGAUAAGAAGCAGGAAUUUUGAAAAAAAAACAAAAAAAGGUCAUAUUCAAGGAAAAUGUGGGGGGGGGGGGUCUGCAAACGCUUCAGGCAGCUGCUGUCGCUACAAACAUCCAGAGUUUGCCGCUGAACAACAACAACAACACGACGUAGAGGAGUUCCCAGAAACCCAGUUCUUCAUUAUUAUUCUGAUUAUUAUGAUUAUAUUUGUGUUUUCUAUCUCCUGCUGUUUUCUUUUUCUUCUCUGCUUCCUCCUCCCGCCUCUUUUACUGCCUUCUGUGGGUCGUGUUUUCCGCUCGUCUCGGUUUCUUUUCGUUGUAGUUACUUCCUGUUUAGGGUCCAUCCUCAGUUUCUUUGCGAGGCCUUGUCUUUGCAAGAUGACGUGUAUCCCUCUGUCGUGGGGAAAACUGAGACCGCGGCGGGGUAAAAACUCUCCGAUGACGCCGUAGACAAACGCCCAGAGGAACAGCAUCUAGUGCACUGAAUAAUUCUGCUGUUGUUGGGUCGGAGCGAGCCCCGGUGCUGUCUAACUCCUGGAAGCGGUGGCUGUGAUUGGGAGCGUUUACCCUGCGGUGCUUUGAACUGUAUGUAUAACUUGUGUAUAACAAACUGAUAAUAAUAAACCUGUGUUUAAUUUCACCUCCUAUGAUUAUUAGUACUACUAAUACCGACCGUAAUAAGCUUCAUUUGACUUUCGUUAACAAACCCAGAGUGAAGGAGUCGACGCAGCUCCAGUAACUAACCGCAGACCAGACAGAAUGUUUGUCGAUUCGACCUUUAAAGCAUCCAGUAAGGUUUAUUUUGUAGUUACUUCUGGAACAUGUUUCUCCUCCAUUCCCACGGUUAAGCUAAGGUUCAUGUAGUGCGACGACUAAGGAGACGUAGAUGUACUAUAAAGAAAUCUAAAUUACUUUUAAGCGUUGCUGUUACAAGCUGGUUCUAAAAAGCAUUUACUGGAAGUGUUGCAGAAUAAUGGUCGCUUGCUUGUUGGCUUCAGCACAGUUUUGUUUCGUUCAGACUUCAGACCUUUGCAGUGAAACCUGUGGAGCUGCUUUUAACCUACGGAAGCUCUUUAGUGACUAAAUUCACACACAAAAAAAGACGAUUACUUUUCAGAGCACGGAGGCGUCGCUGGUUCCAGUUUGAACAGUUUUAACCUAACUGGUGAUUUUUUGCCUUCUCAUCACUUGUUGAAGCUCUAAAUUCGUCCAGGCGGCGUUAACCACUAACGAAUUUCAGAACCAAAUUUUCACUCGUAUCCGGAAACAGGCGUCAGAAAAAGGUGAGUUCACUUUAAACCGACUCACAAACCUUCAGUCCUGUUUGGUUGGAUCUGUGGUGUAAUUUUGUCGCUGAUGGACUUCCGUAGGUUUCAAGCAGAGCGGAUGUAAAACAGCAGAAAUGAGCCCGAAGGUGUCCGAGGUGGGUGCGUUUGUUUUACCACGGCUGGGUGGCGGUGGUGGUGGUGGGGUGAGACGGGUGGUGGUUGGUCCUGAAACGGUUCCUGUUCUGUUGUUUUUUUGUUUGUUUUUGUUGUUUUUCUUUGUGCUACAUUCUCUGGCGAUUUGAUAAAUAUAGUGUGCAUUCCUCUGUCACUGUAACCAUAGUAACGAGAUAUUUCUUCAUAUUGCACAAUCGAUAAUGCCACGAUGAGGGGUGGGCGGGCGGGGCCGGGGCUUCGGUGUGACGUGGACCGGGGGUCACUGCUAGUUGGAUCUGCACCCGUAGACUUCUUCUCCCCAUCUCUGUUACAUACGUGCAAAAAGCCAUUAAAAUGCUUUUAAAACGAC